rnacentral:snRNA from 11 species
ACAUUUAUCUGGGGAGGAGAUGCCAGGGUUUUCCCAGGAUGAGGCUUACCCAUUGCAUCUGGGAUGUGCUGACCCCAAUGUGAGAAACUCCACCCCAUAAUUUGUGAUAGUGGGUGACAGUGUCGGUGUUCUUUCCUG